AGAUAUAUACAAACAAAUUCCAAAACAUGAAACAACAAAAUCCAUUAUAUAAUCCUUCCAUGGAUUUUGUUGUUUCAUGUUUUGGAAUUUGUUUGUAU
rnacentral:miRNA from 1 species